rnacentral:lncRNA from 1 species
AGAAAUAACUUGGAGGACAGGGCCACUUGAGUCCACAUGCACACUCCAGGUCUUGGGAGCCCACACUUAGCAUUAUAGUAAACAGCAAGACCAAACCUCAACAAUUCUCCUUUUUAGUUCAAUAUUAGGCUCAUUUUCUCUCAGAUAUAGAUUGGAUACAAUUAUAUAGCAAUUAGGAAAAUUACUAGGUAUGAUACACAUUUAUAAUAGGUAUUUUAUCAUCUAUCCUAACUUAAUGAGUUUGCAGUUCUGUACCUCAGUCAUCUUUGAUUUUAACUUGUAUUACCAUCUGAAACCAAUCGUUUACACCUAGAACAUCUUAAAUCCUAACCAAUUCUGAGACUGGAACUAUCUAGUUUUCAGCCCCAUCAGAGGUUUAAGAAGGAAUAAAUAUUUGAAUAUUCAGGAACACAGCUUCCAAAAUUUAAACAAUUGACAGCUGACAAUUUGGACAGUCUCUAACAUUUCUUAUAACAUUGGAGCAUCUUUCUGCAGCCUUCUGGCCCAGAACAACUGACUGAAGAGAAGUAUGAAGGACUUAUGAAGGACUAGCUUUAGCUUACCUUGUCUUGGCAGAGCUUAGUAGUUGACUAUCCCGCGUCUGUUUAUCUUUUUUUGGAUAGCAUUCUGUCUGCAGAUGAAGUCAGGGCAUUUCUUGCCUAGUGGCUAGCUCGCCACAAAUGAAGCAACUUCACAUGGAGGUAAUGAUGCUUAACAUUUUCUUUGAAGUGGAAUGGGGUAUGCUGUCAGGAACAGACACAUGUUUUGUAGUCAAAUAUCUUUUAAUAAUAAAAUAACCUUGAAUGUCAUACUCUGUGGUUCUCUGAUGCCUUUGAAGACCAUCUACCUAUAUACAGCAUAACUAAAUUGUUAAACAUUAUUUUUUAUCUAUUUACUAUUUGAGUGACCUUGAGAACAUUUUAUUGUAAUUAUCUAAAUUAGACUUUAAUAAAGUUUGACUAUCUGACU